GACGAACGCUGGCGGCGUGCUUAACACAUGCAAGUCGAACGGUAAGGCCCUUCGGGGUACACGAGUGGCGAACGGGUGAGUAACACGUGGGUGAUCUGCCCUGCACUUCGGGAUAAGCCUGGGAAACUGGGUCUAAUACCGGAUAGGACUCCUGGCUUCAUGGUUGGGGGUGGAAAGCUUUUGCGGUGUGGGAUGGGACCGCGGCCGAUCAGCUUGUUGGUGGGGUAAUGGCCUACCAAGGCGAAGACGGGUAGCCGGCCUGAGAGGGUGACCGGUCACACUGGGACUGCGAUACGGCCCAGACUCCUACGGGAGGCAGCAGUGGGGAAUAUUGCACAAUGGGCGCAAGCCUGAUGCAGCGCCGCCGCGUGAGGGAUGACGGCCUUCGGGUUGUAAACCUCUUUCAGCUAUGACGAAGCGCAAGUGACGGUAGUAGCAGAAGAAGGACCGGCCAACUACGUGCCAGCCGCCGCGGUAAAAC
rnacentral:rRNA from 1 species